GCGCUCGUAGCUCAGUUGGAUAGAGCAACGGAUUUCUAAUCCGUAGGUCGCAGGUUCGAAUCCUGCCGGGCGCACCA
rnacentral:tRNA from 1 species